ACGGGAGGCAGCAGUGGGGAAUAUUGCACAAUGGGCGCAAGCCUGAUGCAGCAACGCCGCGUGAGGGAAGACGGUCUUCGGAUUGUAAACCUUUGUCUUUGGUGAAGAAGAAAGUGACGGUAGCCAAGGAGGAAGCAACGGCUAACUACGUGCCAGCAGCCGCGGUAAUACGUAGGUUGCAAGCGUUGUCCGGAUUUACUGGGUGUAAAGGGCGUGUAGGCGGAGCUGCAAGUCAGAUGUGAAAUCCCGGGGCUCAACCCCGGAACUGCAUUUGAAACUGUAGCCCUUGAGUAUCGGAGAGGCAAGCGGAAUUCCUAGUGUAGCGGUGAAAUGCGUAGAUAUUAGGAGGAACACCAGUGGCGAAGGCGGCUUGCUGGACGACAACUGACGCUGAGGCGCGAAAGCGUGGGGAGCAAACAGGAUUAGAUACCCUGGUA
rnacentral:rRNA from 1 species